rnacentral:rRNA from 1 species
GAUGAACGCUGGCGGCGUGCCUAAUACAUGCAAGUCGAGCGAACAGACGAGGAGCUUGCUCCUCUGACGUUAGCGGCGGACGGGUGAGUAACACGUGGAUAACCUACCUAUAAGACUGGGAUAACUUCGGGAAACCGGAGCUAAUACCGGAUAAUAUAUUGAACCGCAUGGUUCAAUAGUGAAAGACGGUUUUGCUGUCACUUAUAGAUGGAUCCGCGCCGCAUUAGCUAGUUGGUAAGGUAACGGCUUACCAAGGCGACGAUGCGUAGCCGACCUGAGAGGGUGAUCGGCCACACUGGAACUGAGACACGGUCCAGACUCCUACGGGAGGCAGCAGUAGGGAAUCUUCCGCAAUGGGCGAAAGCCUGACGGAGCAACGCCGCGUGAGUGAUGAAGGUCUUCGGAUCGUAAAACUCUGUUAUUAGGGAAGAACAAAUGUGUAAGUAACUAUGCACGUCUUGACGGUACCGAAUCAGAAAGCCACGGCUAACUACGUG